GGGAUGAGGUGCAUGAGGAUCGAUCGGGGACUUGCUUCGUUUCGCCUGCCCUUUGAUUCCGUUGGGUGCUGGGAAAGGAUUUGCUGUUGGUAUUGCCUCGAUACAACUAAAAAGAGUACUACUGCAGGAGACUGCGAGAUUCCUCUCGUGGGUCCAUAAAUCCACCGUCUUUCCAGGCUCGAUCCAGCCACCGGUGUCGCUCGGCCUGUGGGUUCGUUCCAACAGUACCUCCCCCCUUGCAGUGCUCCUAUCUUCUUAUUCCUGUUGCUUGCCAUCUCCUCUCCUCCGACUCACUCGCCUCAAGCUCUCUUCUCCCGUUACACUCCGUCUCCGUGGGAACAGAAGUCGGUGUUUGCAGCUGUGGCAUCAUCAAGAUUCACACCGACCGGAUGCCCCGCCGUCCUCGUCGUCGAUGAGAAUCUUGAUGAUGCUGCAUCGGCAAAUAAGCGGCUAAACAACACAUGCCACCACCAUCAAGUCAUCAUCUCCUCAGAGGUCAAGUUUCUUGCUGCCGCUUUUGUUCUUAUAGAUGGAUUUCCCGACUUCUUUUACCUUCCAUACCUUUAGUUGAUUGUUUGCAGGGUAGUAAGCAAGCCUUUAAGUCUAAGUUAUUGUCACUCAAGUAGAUAGAUCUUUAUCAGCUUUCAGAUUCCAAGAAGUGAUACCAAUCAAUUAUGCUUUCACAAGAAUACACCAACAGAUGGUUGUGAGUAUGGACAUACGAUCAUCUUCCUAUGUGCCAAUAUUCCUUCUUCGAAAAACCAGCCAAAGAGCCGAGCUUGACGAUUAUUCGAAGCAUGGAGAAAGCGAAGAACUGCGAUAUCCGUAUCUUCCUCUUUCUUCUCUACGGUUAGGUGUUAAACAUCUGUGUUUUGAGAUGAAGAAUGUGUUCUUCUUAGACUACCAGCAAAUAUCUUCUCAACGUCACAUUCUGGUUGAGAUGGGCGAUGUUAUGUGACACGGAAGAAAGCAAAUGGAGAAUCCCCCAUUUAGAUAGAAAGAUGAAGCAUCAUUCGAAGCACACAUGUACAGGAAUCAUCUGAAGAGGCAAACACCUCGAAAGCUCCAACUCCAUGACAGUUCCAGUGACUUCCUCUUCAGCUUUGACGAAUGUACUCAAAGAGCUGCUUUUCAUCUCAAGAAAGAGAAAAAAGAGGGCACAAUUCCAUCAUCAAUCACUCAUGCAGGUGGUCCUCGCAGAAGGUACAUAUUGCUAGUUGUUUCUGAAGUGGACCUAUACAUGAUGAUGAUGCAGAGAUUUGUCUGGUAAUUUUAUUUGAUCUCCUCCUCCAUUUUAGCAGACAAAACAAUCAUGUAGUGUAUUAAAGGCCGAACACAUGUAUACCUCCCUCUUUCCACGAUCGAACAGUAUACCUCCGUAUUUGUAAUAGUUGAUAUAGCUCACAACCAAUCUCAGUGAAAUAUCAAACUAUUGGGGUUGAUGAUUUGUUGUUAUUG